rnacentral:misc_RNA from 1 species
CAAGUGCUACAAACAAGAGGAAUUGGCAACAACCAACCAUUGCAAUAAAAAAAAUGGAAGAGGAAAAAAGGGAUUCUUGUCUGGGGCCAACAAAACAGAAGUGAAAAUGCAGAGGGAAAUGCAAAUAAAAGUGUUUACAUUUGCAGAAACUUACAGCACUUACUUGACCGUGAAAUUCAUUUGUGCAGCUCCAUUGUUGACCAUGUCCCAUCAAAAAA